rnacentral:lncRNA from 1 species
CAUCCUCACUACAAUAUCUCAUUGAGGCUCCAAGGGAUCAUUAACGUAGAAGACUUGACUAUCUUGGGAGGCAAGUAUAUAUGGUUUUUUAGUGCGAGGAUGGCAUUGCAUAUUAACGAGAGUAAAACCACACUUAUCAGUCUUCAUCCCUGACUGAGACAAGGUGUCAAACCAAUUGUAUUUCAUCAACGCAACUCUUCCUUUAGAAAAAUAGUCCAAGAUGACUAUCUUCUCCAUAACCCCAUAAUAGUUCAGAUCUUCCGUACGAGGCUGUGAAUCCCUUAAGCU